rnacentral:misc_RNA from 1 species
ACGCUACUCCGCCGGAUCGCUGCCACUAACUCUCCCGGCCAGUAUGUCCGACCAAAACCCACAAACCUUAAAUCAAUUUUCGCCGCCGAUCAAUCUGCCCAAGUAGCUUGGUAUUUUUUCGAAGGAAAAUUCAAAAAACUUGAUUAUCUCUUUGAUUUAAGAAAAUUUAACUGCUACUGGUUGUUGAUUCUAUCUGCUCUAGUUGUAUUACUGCUCUUCCCAUUAAAAAAGAAAGAAGGAAAGUUUGAG